rnacentral:rRNA from 1 species
GAUGAACGCUGGCGGCGUGCCUAAUACAUGCAAGUCGGGCGAACGGACGAGAAGCUUGCUUCUCUGAUGUUAGCGGCGGACGGGUGAGUAACACGUGGAUAACCUACCUAUAAGACUGGGAUAACUUCGGGAAACCGGAGCUAAUACCGGAUAAUAUUUUGAACCGCAUGGUUCAAAAGUGAAAGACGGUCUUACUGUCACUUAUAGAUGGAUCCGCGCUGCAUUAGCUAGUUGGUAAGGUAACGGCUUACCAAGGCAACGAUGCAUAGCCGACCUGAGAGGGUGAUCGGCCACACUGGAACUGAGACACGGUCCAGACUCCUACGGGAGGCAGCAGUAGGGAAUCUUCCGCAAUGGGCGAAAGCCUGACGGAGCAACGCCGCGUGAGUGAUGAAGGUCUUCGGAUCGUAAAACUCUGUUAUUAGGGAAGAACAUAUGUGUAAGUAACUGUGCACAUCUUGACGGUACCUAAUCAGAAAGCCACGGCUAACUACGUG